AAGCUUGUUUUCUUCUUCUGAAGAGCAUUUACAGCAGUCGAGCUUAGAAAGAAACUGAAUGGAAAGAAGUUUCCUCCUAAUAUUGUCGAGGCAGUGAUAACUGAUUUUCAGAGCAGAGGGCUGAUCAAUGAUGGCUUGUAUGCCGAAGCAUUUUCACGGUCUAGAUGGUCUACUUCAACCUGGGGACCUAGACGGAUAAAGCAAGCAUUGUUCAACAGGGGAAUAAGUGGAACUGAUGCAGACAAGGCAGUAAAACUGGUUUUCCAGGAUGCUGAAUCUGAUGGAGAGCAAGAAUCAAAGCUUGGCAUGUCAAAGCAUUCAAUGGAUCAACUUUUUGUUCAGGCCAAGAAGCAAUGGCUCCGAAGUCAGGAUGCACCGAAAGAAACACGUAAAACAAGGAUUAUUCUUUGGCUUCAGUACCGUGGUUUCAACUGGGGAAUUACUAGUUUCAUAUUGAAGAAGUUAGAAUCCCAUUAUCCCACUUAGAGCACAAUAAAUGAAUUCUCUUCGACCAUGUUGUCGAUGGAAUGAUGAUCCAUAGCCGAUUAUCUUGAAAUUUAAGUUUUUUGUAUGAAAAGGUUUCAUUACACCCACCAUUGGAACAUGCUGAAAUGGUCAAAAGGUUAGUUGCUGGAGCCCAUAACAGAGAGAAAGUUGUGUUUAUAAAUUAUAGGUGUAUGAAAUGGCAAAAAGGUUUUUUUAUUUUUUAUUUGCUACUUUUUCUUUUAACUAUUUCUAACUUUAAUAUGUUUGU